UGAAAGUCAGGUCGGAUUAAGCCAUAGUACG
rnacentral:lncRNA from 1 species